rnacentral:rRNA from 1 species
CUACGGGCGGCAGCAGUGGGGAAUAUUGGACAAUGGGCGAAAGCCUGAUCCAGCAAUGCCGCGUGUGUGAAGAAGGCCUGCGGGUUGUAAAGCACUUUCAGUGGGGAGGAUUAUGACGUUACCCACAGAAGAAGCACCGGCUAACUCUGUGCCAGCAGCCGCGGUAAUACAGAGGGUGCGAGCGUUAAUCGGAAUUACUGGGCGUAAAGCGCGCGUAGGCGGUUUGGCCAGUCGGAUGUGAAAGCCCCGGGCUUAACCUGGGAAUUUCAUUCGAUACUGCCAGGCUAGAGUGUAGUAGAGGGAAGCGGAGUUCCGGGUGUAGCGGUGAAAUGCGUAGAUAUCCGGAGGAACAUCAGUGGCGAAGGCGGCUUCCUGGACUAACACUGACGCUGAGGUGCGAAAGCGUGGGGAGCAAACAGGAUUAGAUACCCCGCGUAGUC